ACGGGGGGGGCGAGCGUUGUUCGGAAUUACUGGGCGUAGAGGGCGCGUAGGCGGCCGGCUCAGUCAGACGUGAAAUCCCUCGGCUCAACCGGGGAACUGCGUCUGAUACUGGCUGGCUCGAAUCCGGGAGAGGAAAGUGGAAUUCCUGGUGUAGCGGUGAAAUGCGUAGAUAUCAGGAGGAACACCGGUGGCGAAGGCGGCUUUCUGGCCCGUAACUGACACUGAGGCGCGAAAGCGUGGGGAGCGAACGG
rnacentral:rRNA from 1 species